GUGUCAGCCGCCGCGGUAAUACGUAGGGCGCAAGCGUUACUCGGAAUCACUGGGCAUAAAGGGCGUGUAGGCGGAGACGUAAGUCCGGUGUAAAAUCCCCCGGCUCAACCGGGGAAUGCCAUUGGAUACUGCGUCUCUUGAGUGCGGGAGGGGAGAGUGGAACUCUUGGUGGAGCGGUGAAAUGCGUAGAUAUCAAGAGGAACGCCGGUGGCGAAAGCGACUCUCUGGCCCGUUACUGACGCUGAGGCGCGAAAGCUAGGGGAGCAAACGGGAUUAGAUACCCCGGUAGUCCUAGCCCUAAACGAUGAGUACUAAGUAGGGGCGACUCCGAUGUUGUCUCUGCUGUAGCAAAUGUGCUAAGUACUCCGCCUGGGGAGUACGGUCGCAAGGCUGAA
rnacentral:rRNA from 1 species